rnacentral:misc_RNA from 1 species
AUGUCGAAAACUGGUGGAAACACGGAGCCAAUGCCAUUCAUCCGGAAAUGGGGCAACGAAGCUGGCGAAGAUUUGGGAGCUGCCCCCAGUGCAACAGCAGCUCCACCACCAGCACUUGUUGUGCCAACAAUUUCCUCCAUGUCGUCUGGUGAUAAUAAAUCGCCAUCUCGUUCGGAAUCGGUGUCUGAUCGAAAAAGGGACCGAUCACGUUCUCGUGAUCGUGACCGCAAGAAGGAUCGAAAGAAGAAGGAUCGUUCACGUGAACGAGAUCGUGAACGCCGAUCCUCUCGUUCCCGUUCUCGAUCUCCUCGAGAUAGAGAUCGUGAACGUCGUCGUCGGCGGUCUCGAUCACCACCACCUCGUCGUCGAAGCCGAAGCGGUGGAGAUCGUCGGCGUAGAGAACGAUCACCUCCGUCAAUGGUUCCGAAUAGUCCGCAACGAGUUAAAGAACCUGUGAUAAAUCCAUUGAUUCGGGAAGAUUUGGCUGCGGCUGUUGAAAGUGGAGCAGUACCUGUUGAAGCUGUACAAGCUGGUGCAGUUGUUGCGUUGAAUCCCGCCAAAAAAGAAAGAAGAAGUCGUUGGUCUACAACAAAAAGUUUUGUUCCGGGAAUGCCAACAAUUCUACCAGCUGAUUUGACUGAGGAUCAACGGAAUGCAUAUCUUCAUCUCCAUCUCCUGAACCAGUUUACGACGCAAAUGGUAAGCGGUUGAACACUCGUGAAGUGCGGAAACGGCAGGAAUUGGAACAGUUGAGACAUGAGAAAAUUCAAGCUUUAUUGAAGAUUAAUCCGAAUUUCAAACCGCCCGCUGACUAUCGUGCUCCAAACAUCCGUCUACACGACAAAGUCUGGAUUCCCCAGGAACAAUUUCCUGAUCUCAAUUUUGUCGGCCUACUCAUUGGUCCACGUGGAAAUACGCUGAAAAGCUUGGAAGCUGAAACUGGAGCCAAGAUUAUUAUCAGAGGAAAAGGAUCUAUAAAAGAGGGAAAAUUGACGAAUCGACUCGGACCGAUGCCUGGAGAAAAUGAGCCAUUACAUGCAUAUGUAACUGGAACUGAUAUGAAUGUUAUCAAAAAAGCAUGUGAGAAGAUUAAACAAGUGAUUGCUGAAGCCACUGCUCUGCCGGAUAACAAUGAGCUCAGGAAGCUGCAACUGAGAGAACUCGCACUGUUGAAUGGAACUUUCCGACCGGAGGAUUUGGCAAACGGAGCUCGUUGCUCGAAUUGCGGCUCAGACGAGCACAAAUCAUGGGAAUGCCCGGAUGCUCCAAAUGUGACAAAUCAAAUAAAAUGUACAAAUUGUGGAGCAUUUGGUCAUAUUUCAAAGGAUUGUAAAAAUCCAAAGGGAAUGUAUGCAUCAGAAGCUGGAAUGGAUGAUGAAUAUUCGGCUCUGAUGGCUGAAUUGGGUGAAACUCCGGCUGCUGGAGCUGGAGCCGGAGGAGGAGGUGGAGGACAUGUUGCAUCAGCUGGUGGUGGAAUUUCAGCAAUGACUGGAGCAGGAGGAGAAGCUCCUGGUGGUGGAGCUGGAGGACGAGGUGGUGGAGCUCAUGGAGGAGCUGGAAGAGGUGGAGGAUAUCAAGGUGGACGUGGAGGAGGACGUGGAUUCCAGAAUCCACGGGAUUUAUUUGGACCACCGAAAGGAGAAGAAGAGCAGCAACAGCAGGCGAAUGCUUCGAUGCAGCAUGGAUAUUAUGAUCACUAUCAACAAUACGCCUAUCCUAAUCAAUAUCAACAACCUUAUGGUGCACCUGCACCUCCAGGAGGAUCAGCUUACGGUCACCAACAGCAGCAGCAGCAGCAGCAACAACAAGACUACAGUGAUUUCUACACAAGCCCAGGAGCCCGUGGAGGAGCUGGAGCCAAAGCCAACAAAGGAUGGUACGGAAGUGGUGGCGGGUCGUCUAUGCCGAUGCCUGUACCUCCACCAGGCGGCCUAGGCGGUUUCAUGCCUCCACCACCUCCACCACCACCAAUGCCUGGAGAUUUGUCGUCACUUUUGGCCGCUGCUCCACCGCCACCGCCUAGUUAA